AACACCUGGAUGUUAGCUAACAGGUGAGCAGCUCAGUGCUAACAGGUGAGCAGCUCAGUGCUAACAGGUGAGCACCUCAGUGCUAACAGGUGAGCAGCUCAGUGCUAACAGGUGUUAGAACAGGUGAGCAGCUCAGUGCUAACAGGUGAGCAGCUCAGUGCUAACAGAUGUUAGAACAGGUGAGCAGCUCAGUGCUAACAGGUGAGCAGCUUAGUGCUAACAGGUGAGCAGCUCAGUGCUAACAGGUGUUAGAACAGGUGAGCAGCUCAGUGCUAACAGGUGAGCAGCUCAGUGCUAACAGAUGUUAGAACAGGUGAGCAGCUCAGUGCUAACAGGUGAGCAGCUUAGUGCUAACAGGUGAGCAGCUCAGUGCUAACA